rnacentral:rRNA from 1 species
GGGUUGUGAGGUUAAGCGACUAAGCGUACACGGUGGAUGCCCUGGCAGUCAGAGGCGAUGAAGGACGUGCUAAUCUGCGAUAAGCGUCGGUAAGGUGAUAUGAACCGUUAUAACCGGCGAUUUCCGAAUGGGGAAACCCAGUGUGUUUCGACACACUAUCAUUAACUGAAUCCAUAGGUUAAUGAGGCGAACCGGGGGAACUGAAACAUCUAAGUACCCCGAGGAAAAGAAAUCAACCGAGAUUCCCCCAGUAGCGGCGAGCGAACGGGGAGCAGCCCAGAGCCUGAAUCAGUGUGUGUGUUAGUGGAAGCGUCUGGAAAGGCGCGCGAUACAGGGUGACAGCCCCGUACACAAAAAUGCACAUGCUGUGAGCUCGAUGAGUAGGGCGGGACACGUGGUAUCCUGUCUGAAUAUGGGGGGACCAUCCUCCAAGGCUAAAUACUCCUGACUGACCGAUAGUGAACCAGUACCGUGAGGGAAAGGCGAAAAGAACCCCGGCGAGGGGAGUGAAAAAGAACCUGAAACCGUGUACGUACAAGCAGUGGGAGCACAGAGCAAUCUGUGUGACUGCGUACCUUUUGUAUAAUGGGUCAGCGACUUAUAUUCUGUAGCAAGGUUAACCGAAUAGGGGAGCCGAAGGGAAACCGAGUCUUAACUGGGCGUUAAGUUGCAGGGUAUAGACCCGAAACCCGGUGAUCUAGCCAUGGGCAGGUUGAAGGUUGGGUAACACUAACUGGAGGACCGAACCGACUAAUGUUGAAAAAUUAGCGGAUGACUUGUGGCUGGGGGUGAAAGGCCAAUCAAACCGGGAGAUAGCUGGUUCUCCCCGAAAGCUAUUUAGGUAGCGCCUCGUGAAUUCAUCUCCGGGGGUAGAGCACUGUUUCGGCAAGGGGGUCAUCCCGACUUACCAACCCGAUGCAAACUGCGAAUACCGGAGAAUGUUAUCACGGGAGACACACGGCGGGUGCUAACGUCCGUCGUGAAGAGGGAAACAACCCAGACCGCCAGCUAAGGUCCCAAAGUCAUGGUUAAGUGGGAAACGAUGUGGGAAGGCCCAGACAGCCAGGAUGUUGGCUUAGAAGCAGCCAUCAUUUAAAGAAAGCGUAAUAGCUCACUGGUCGAGUCGGCCUGCGCGGAAGAUGUAACGGGGCUAAACCAUGCACCGAAGCUGCGGCAGCGACGCUGAUGCGUUGUUGGGUAGGGGAGCGUUCUGUAAGCCUGUGAAGGUGUGCUGUGAGGCAUGCUGGAGGUAUCAGAAGUGCGAAUGCUGACAUAAGUAACGAUAAAGCGGGUGAAAAGCCCGCUCGCCGGAAGACCAAGGGUUCCUGUCCAACGUUAAUCGGGGCAGGGUGAGUCGACCCCUAAGGCGAGGCCGAAAGGCGUAGUCGAUGGGAAACAGGUUAAUAUUCCUGUACUUGGUGUUACUG